UACGGAGGGCGCAAGCGUUGUUCGGAAUCACUGGGCGUAAAGAGCGUGUAGGCGGUUUCGUAUGGCUGGCGUGAAAGCCCCGGGCUCACCCCGGGAAGUGCGCUGGAAACUGCUAGACUAGAGUCCCGGAGAGGAAGGUGGAAGUCCAGGUGUAGCGGUGAAAUGCGUAGAUAUCUGGAAGAACACUGGUCGCGAAGGCGGCCUUCUGGACGGUUACUGACGCUGAGACGCGAAAGCGUGGGGAGCAAACAGG
rnacentral:rRNA from 1 species